rnacentral:rRNA from 1 species
GACGAACGCUGGCGGCGUGCCUAAUACAUGCAAGUCGAGCGGACUUUCCGGAGUGCUUGCACUCCGGAAGGUUAGCGGCGGACGGGUGAGUAACACGUAGGCAACCUGCCCAUAAGACCGGGAUAACAUUCGGAAACGAAUGCUAAUACCGGAUAGACGGACCUCUCGCAUGAGGGGAUCGGGAAAGGCGGAGCAAUCUGCCGCUUAUGGAUGGGCCUGCGGCGCAUUAGCUGGUUGGUGGGGUAACGGCCUACCAAGGCGACGAUGCGCAGCCGACCUGAGAGGGGGAUCGGACACAGUGGCACUGAGGCACGGUCGAGACGCGUGCGGGAGGCAGCAGCAGGGAAUAGGCCGGAAUGGGCGAAAGCUUGACGGAGCAACGCCGCGGGAGUGAUGAAGGUCUUAGGAUCGUAAAACUCUGUUAGUGGGGAAGAACAAAUGUGUAAGUAACUACGCACGGCUUGACGGUACCUAAUCAGAAAGCCCCGGCUAACUACGUG